rnacentral:tRNA from 1 species
GUUCCAGUAGCUCUACAGGAUAGAGCAACGGCCCCCUAGACUGUAGGUCGUAGGUUUAAAUCUUACCUGGGAUGCUA